rnacentral:lncRNA from 1 species
ACACGUAACAUAUUGAAAGAUCAACUUCAAACAAAUUUAAAUUAUGGGCAAAUUAAAAAGAAUAAUUACAGCUCCCCAUAAACAAGGGGAUCCAGAUAACAAAGGGUGAUUAUAGAUCACCCCUGAUUUUAGUCUCCAAUGGUAACAGAACCACGCCUCGUUUAUAUAAACUAGUCGAGAGGACACCAAGUACAUCAUCUUGUAAUUUAUCUACCAGCCCAUGCUAUCAUCUUACUUUUCUUCCAUGCA